rnacentral:lncRNA from 1 species
UCUAACUAGUAGAUUGCAAGAAAUCUUAAAAACCCUCAUUAGACCUAAAAUUCUACUUUUUAAGACCUUGACCCACUUAAACCUCAAUAACCUUCAAUUCAAUCAUUAGAUCGAGCUAAGAUUCACAAUGCAUAUUAAGCACACCUAUGACCAUUAAUCCACAAAAUUUUACUUGUAGAUCUGUUACAAAACUCUUAAAAUCACUAAAAACAUCAAUCCUAUUUUAUUUCACAAAACCCAAGUCAUCUGAAAAUAAUCUUGACUUUGUAAAGCUUUUAAAAAUUCAUAAUAAAUCUAAAUUGCCCAAAACCAAUGCU